UACGAAGGGGGCUAGCGUUGCUCGGAUUGACUGGGCGUAAAGGGCGCGUAGGCGGAUAGUACAGUCAGGCGUGAAAUCCCUCGGCUUAACCGGGGAACUGCGUCUGAUACUGGAUGGCUUGAGAUUGGGAGAGGGAUGCGGAAUUCCAGGUGUAGCGGUGAAAUGCGUAGAUAUCUGGAGGAACACCGGUGGCGAAGGCGACAUCCUGGACCAACACUGACGCUGAGGAGCGAAAGCCAGGGGAGCAAACGGG
rnacentral:rRNA from 1 species